ensembl:lncRNA
CGUGCAAUGUAUAUGGAAUACACCAGGGCCAGUAGAGAAUUUAAAAACAACUUUACUUCCUGUCUCAGGUAAACUCAGGGUGAAAAACACAAAUAUGUUUUUAAAGGGGACUGUGUCAUAUAUAUAUCCAGCAGCACUUUGUUCUCCCACCAUAGAGGUGGACAGAAGGCUCACAGGCAGUCCACCAUAGAGGUGGACAGAAGGCUCACAGGCAGUCCACCAUAGAGGUGGAUAGAAGGCUCACAGGCAGUCCACCAUAGAGGUGGAUAGAAGGCUCACAGGCAGUCCACCAUAGAGGUGGAUAGAAGGCUCACAGGCAGCGCCGUUGAGGGUUUUCAACACUUUAAAGUAGUCAACUGGGUGGGGACUUACUACUGAUUGAUUGAUUGACUGAGGAAAAAACGAGCACCGAGUACAACCCAGUGGAUAACACGUUAAAGCGAAACUCACUCGUCUCUAACGUGGUCCCUUAUGCGUUUAGGAAGGAUCACAGAAUUCCAUCCAGGUCAGCAGGAGGGGUCAACCAGUGAAUUAUAUGGAGCUGACCUUCCAUAACUACAGCUGGCAGUAAAUCACCAAUCUUGGCUUUGUACACUAUCAAAGUAGGUGGUGGUAUGUACCUUCUGGAGUUGAUUUUCUACCUUCCAAUACACUUAUAGAAGUAGAAUAGACAUAGAAGAGACAUUACUUUAAAAGAUAGCCCUCAAUGUUGCUGCCUAUGCCCUGUCACAGAAGACAGCAUUGCAAAGGAUAGGAGGUGUGCCUUUACAUUCCUAUGGAGUUAGCUUAUGUAGCCUCUUCCUUCACCUCUACCUCAACUUCUCGCUCUUCUGCCUUAAUGUGUCUCUGUUCGCCCUCCUCCUCUUUGACAAUCACAUUGAGAGUACAUGUAGGUUUCUCUCCAAUGUGUCUUAACUGAUGAUUCCUUAUGUUUGUUGCCCAACUGAAACUCUUCCCACAAAGUGUGCAGUGGUAAGGCUUCUCCCCUGUAUGUACUCUUUGAUGUUCCUUAAGUACUGAAUAAUAAUUGAAGCUUUUCCCACAUUGGGUACAGUGGUAAGGUUUCUCUCCACUAUGUACUCUCUCGUGUCCCGUAAGUUUUACUUUCUCACUGAAACUCUUCCCACAUUGUGAGCAGUGGUAAGGCUUGUGAUUUUUCUGAUGAGUCUUCAGGUUUCCUAACUGACUGAAACUCUUCCCACAAAGAGAGCAGUGGUAAGGCUUCUCCCCAGUAUGUACUCUUUGAUGGUCCUUAAGUCUUCCUGAAUGAUUGAAGCUCUUCUCACACUGGGAGCAGGGGUAAGGAUUCUCUCCAAUGUGCAUUCUCUGGUGAGCCUUUAGCUUGCUUGGUGUCUGAAAACUCUUCCCACAUUGACGGCAAAGGUAAGUCUUAUUUAUUUUGGGAGUUUGUUGGUGUGAUUUGUGGCGAGUUGGAUAAAUAAAACUGUCGCUACAGCAGGGUUGGGGCUUCUGUCUGCGGUUUCCUGAUGCUGUGGGACUGGGCUUGCUGUCUGAGUCUGGGUCGGAGCUCUUUCCUGUGA